UACGAAGGGGGCUAGCGUUGCUCGGAAUCACUGGGCGUAAAGCGCACGUAGGCGGACUCUUAAGUCGGUGGUGAAAUCCUGGAGCUCAACUCCAGAACUGCCUUCGAUACUGAUCGACUCGAAGGCAGGAGAGGGUAGUGGAAUUCCCGGUGUAGUGGUGAAAUGCGUAGAUAUCGGGAGGAACACCAGUGGCGAAGGCGACUACCUGGCCUGUUCUUGACGCUGAGGCGCGAAAGCUAGGGGAGCAAACA
rnacentral:rRNA from 1 species